AAGCAUCCAUUGACUACAGCAGAAUUCAUUCCUUUUCUUACUAAAAUUGAUCCGAUUUAUAGAGAAGAAGAGGAAGCAUACAAAGCUUGGUUUAACGAGACUCCUCUUGGAAAGAAGAGAGCUAAAGCUAUCAAA